AGAUGAGGUAACUUGAUACAGAAAGUACCAAUUCAAUUCAUAUUAAUGACAAAACAGACAUAAAAAAGACAUCAUUUCUUACUGGAAAUAAAGGGAAUUACAAGGAGGUUACUCUAUUUGAGACUAAUAUUCAUGACAUAAGAAAAUUAACUCCACAAGAUGCUGCGCAAAUCAUCAGUGCCAUAAUUGCCAAGAAAUUGUAUUUCCCAAGAGUAAGCCGAUUUUGGGGAUCGCCAGUGGAAUAACCAGUGAAGUAGAAAUAGCGAGAUACAAUAUAAACAGCUCCAAGAGAUGCACAAAUCAAGGGGUGCCUAAUUCCUCCAACAAUCAUCAGCAUGAAAAAUGUUGGCAUCAUUUCUAAUGAAUUCUGAUGACCUCUCUGAACACAGUUAAAGGAAUUAGCAUUCUUGUUUUCAGCUUCAGUAGCAUACAUUGUUGGAUAAGGAACCUUGUACUGUUUGCGGGCUUUGCCGACUUGAAAGGACAUCCAGAAGUUGAAGAAACAGUAGACGACAAGAGCAAGAAUUACAUAUCCAUAUUCUUUGGGGAGGAAUUCAACUCCGGCCAUGGUUUUUUUCCGAUUUGGUGUUUUGAGAGGAAGUAUGAGAAAAGGGAGAAUUGAUACUUCGCUUUGCGUUGAGGUGAGGUUUAUUUAUAUUGACCUAUUCAAGAUCUCUCUACAGUAAUGGUGUCUUGUUU
rnacentral:misc_RNA from 1 species